UACGGGGGGGGCAAGCGUUGUUCGGAAUUACUGGGCGUAAAGGGCUCGUAGGCGGCCAACUAAGCCAUACGUGAAAUCCCUCGGCUUAACCGGGGAACUGCGUCUGAUACUGGAUGGCUUGAGUUCGGGAGAGGGAUGCGGAAUUCCAGGUGUAGCGGUGAAAUGCGUAGAUAUCUGGAGGAACACCGGUGGCGAAGGCGGCAUCCUGGACCGAUACUGACGCUGAGGAGCGAAAGCCAGGGGAGCAAACGGG
rnacentral:rRNA from 1 species